rnacentral:rRNA from 1 species
AUGAUGGUGCUCGGCUUCUGGGAGGAGAAACUCUGCAGGAAGCUGGUGCACAUAAGUGACGGGCAGGUAUAUUUCCUUAUGUGGCCUUUGUUCAGGACGAUGAGAGCUUCUCAAAGGUCCACAGUAUUACGCCGGGCUUUAGAUUUCGCUGCUGUAAUCUUUUGGAGGACUUCUCCCGUUUCCAUCGCCGUGAUUUGCAAUUUGUGCGCGGGUGAUGGUGUGGCUGACAUAGCCGGGAGGCGAUUCGGCUGCGCGAAGCUCCCUUACAAUACCGACAAAUCCUACACCGGAACCACCGCAAUGUUCUUCGCCGGCUUCGUGUCAUCGGUCCUCUUCAUGUGCUACUUCGACCUUUUCGGGUUCGUCGAGCAGAGCUGGACCAUGGCCGUUGGCUUCGGCAUCACGUCGCUUGCCGCGGCGACCGUCGAGUCACUCCCCGUCAGCACGCGCUUGGACGAUAACCUGACGGUUCCGCUCGCCUCUACGCUCGUCGGCGGCCUGGUUUUCUACUAUGUUUGUGGUGGUGGUGGUGCCGGAAGCGACGACUGGAGCACCAUCUCGGCAAGUGCUGCGGUGGCCUUUGCAGGCAGUAUCUAG